rnacentral:rRNA from 1 species
GACGAACCGAGCGAACGUUGUUCGGAAUCACUGGGCUUAAAGGGCGCGUAGGCGGGUGCUCAAGUCCGGGGUGAAAUCCUCCAGCUCAACUGGAGAACUGCCUCGGAUACUGGGUGUCUCGAGGGUGGUAGGGGUAUGCGGAACUAUCGGUGGAGCGGUGAAAUGCGUUGAUAUCGAUAGGAACUCCGGUGGCGAAGGCGGCAUACUGGACCACAUCUGACGCUGAGGCGCGAAAGCUAGGGGAGCAAACGGG